rnacentral:tRNA from 1 species
GGCCCCAUGGUCAAGCGGUUAAGACAUCGCCCUUUCACGGCGGUAACAGGGGUUCAAAUCCCCUUGGGGUCAUCA